UUGAGAAAUGUCUGUUCUCCCUAUGACUCAUCAUCUUCUAUCAAUGUCUCUUUUAUAUACAAGGGUUCAUAUUGAGAGAGUGUCAACAUGAAAGAAUAAGUCAGAAUGUAAAUACCAUGGCUCAUGAGUGGCUCUAUCUCGACUAACAGGCAAAAUUUCAAAAUAAGAUCCUGAAACUUGCAGAAAUAAGGGGCGUAUGGCUUUUACAACUCAAUAUCCUACACGCUGCUUAGUCCAGGAACUGCAGUUAUCUAAGUAAAAUAGAGGCACACAAUUCCCUGAAGUAAAAUGGCAAGAAGAAAAGAACUGAGACCUCAUCGGGAAAGAAGAGAAGUAUCUUGUACCUAGGACUGAAAUAUGAUGAUAUGCAAAUUGCCUAGCACAAUUCCUAUAGUAGGAACUAAAAAUGGCAACUUACAUUUUCUUCAACUCAUAUUUUGUAUUGCUGUUAUUAGGCUCCACGCCCAGUGCAGAACCCAACUUGGGGCUUGAACUCAUAACUGUGAGAUCA